GACGAACGCUGGCGGCGUGCUUAACACAUGCAAGUCGAACGGAAAGGCCCUGCUUUUGUGGGGUGCUCGAGUGGCGAACGGGUGAGUAACACGUGAGUAACCUGCCCUUGACUUUGGGAUAACUUCAGGAAACUGGGGCUAAUACCGGAUAGGAGCUCCUGCUGCAUGGUGGGGGUUGGAAAGUUUCGGCGGUUGGGGAUGGACUCGCGGCUUAUCAGCUUGUUGGUGGGGUAGUGGCUUACCAAGGCUUUGACGGGUAGCCGGCCUGAGAGGGUGACCGGCCACAAUGGGACUGAGAUACGGCCCAGACUCCUACGGGAGGCAGCAGUGGGGAAUAUUGCACAAUGGGCGGAAGCCUGAUGCAGCAACGCAGCGUGCGGGAUGACGGCCUUCGGGUUGUAAACCGCUUUCGCCUGUGACGAAGCGUGAGUGACGGUAAUGGGUAAAGAAGCACCGGCUAACUACGUG
rnacentral:rRNA from 1 species